UACGUAGGGGGCAAGCGUUGUCCGGAAUCAUUGGGCGUAAAGCGCGUGUAGGCGGCUCGAAAAGUCUGGUGUGAAAUCUUGAGGCUCAACCUCAAGCUGUCACUGGAUACUGUCGAGCUUGAGUCCGGAAGAGGAGUGUGGAAUUCCUGGUGUAGCGGUGGAAUGCGCAGAUAUCAGGAGGAACACCUAUGGCGAAGGCAGCACUCUGGUACGUGACUGACGCUGAGACGCGAAAGCGUGGGUAGCAAACAGG
rnacentral:rRNA from 1 species